AAACACACCAAGUAGGCUGAGGAUAGCUGAGAGUGCUGCAGGUCACAGAGAAGCUUGGGAUUGAAGGAAUUUUUGUGGUAACCAGGAAUCACAAAGAAGGAGUCGGGCUGCUCAGGCACAUGGAAAACGCUGCUGUCACGAGAGAAGGCAGGCUGGGAUGACAGAAAGGAGCUGGUGACGAGCAAGGACAACAAGCAAGCAGCUGCUGAGAUGCAUUCUCACCAGAGAAACCCCAGUUUCACUCUCCAAAGGCUCAGGAGCAAACAGCAAAGGGAUUUACUGUCCAAAACCAGCGCCCCGAGUGAAAACUGAAGAGCUGUGAGGCCGCAGUCAGUACCAGGAGCAGAAAUUUAAUCUGAGCCACAAUAGUGAUGCCGGUGAGUUUAUUCUGCAAUCACAUUUCAGAGGACUUUUCGUGGCAAACUUGCAUUAAGAGCACUCGAUAACCCCCAGCUGUACUCUCUGUGUAAACCAAACCCUUCAUCGCAGCCUGGUCUCUUUAGACUGCAGAGAUCACUAGAACAGUCAAUUGCAUAUGUACUAAUUGCAGCAAAUUAAA